rnacentral:rRNA from 1 species
GUAUUAGGUAUGUUCUUUAAACUUAAAGAAUUUGGCGGUAUUUUAUUCUUUCCAGAGGAACCUGUUCUUUAAUUGAUAAUCCACGAUUUUAUUUACUUAUAUGUUUUUAUAUCUCCGUCAUAAGAAUAUUUUUAUAGUAAUUUUCAUGUCAGGUCAAGGUGAAAUUUAUAUAUAAGAAUGGGUUACAAUAAAUUUAUGAAGGAGGAUUUGGGCUCUAAAGUGUGCACACAUCGCC